UCUUCCGUGGACCUCCAAGAAAGCCAUCUAUUUUAAAGAGGAACAAGGUUGAUCCACUGACUCCUCCCCAGGAACUGAAGCUGGUUUGGAGCCCCCAUAGUGGUGUGGAAGGGAGCCAAUCAUUUCACCUGCUGCUCAAUGCAGCUUACGCAUGCAUCUUGCUAAAGAUGAUGACCCAGCAACCUGAGCUGAUGAGGUGGUGGGUCUCAGUCCACUCUAAACAAGCUUGCAUCGUUUUAGCAGCCGACUGCACUUAUCUUUUGAGCUUUGAACCAUGCCCCAGUGGGGCAUGCUUCUUGAUCUCAUUGAUACUGGAGUUGGCCAUGUGAUUUGCUUCGGCCAAAAGUUUGAUAAAUGUGUCAUGAAAUGGAGCCUUCCAUGCGUCUGCACACUGGACUUGUGUUCAGAGCUCCACUCUGAGAAGUACAUAUGCCAAGUGACCAUGGAUCUGGGGAGGAUCAGAGACAUGUGGAACAGCUUCUCUGUUGAAUAUCAACGUGUCACACAUAUCUCUGCAAUCCCCACAUGGGCUUCCCAGUGGAGCCACCGAGCUUGGAGGAAGGAGUGGUUUUCUGGUUCAGCAACUGCUCUUCGGAAGAUGUGA
rnacentral:lncRNA from 1 species